rnacentral:lncRNA from 1 species
CCUAGCCUUUCCCCUUCCAUUAUAGAACAAAGGCUUGUUCUUGGUCUACAGCUUGAACCUGGCUUUGGACUUCCUGCUGAUCAAGCCAAACCAUGGCUCAGCACUGAGCAGCAGGAGAACCUGGAGAGGAAGGCAGCAGCUGCAAUCUCCUCUCCUGCAACCCGCACAUUACGUGCAGUCUGGGUCUAUUAUAUUUUGCUUGGGAGGGAUGAGAAAGUUUUGAAUUUUUGUAUCUUAUUAAGUUUUUUUGUUUCAGGGAAGGUUGAUUACACUGACAGAGGAAUAAGAAUGUAUUUCUAUGCUGAUAGUUCCACCCUUGGGAACUUGAGCUCUUAAAUCAUCUGCUUAAAUAUGCAUGUGUGCAUUUCUCUUAUGUUUUUACCACAUGCAAAGGUUGGAAAAAUAAUCUGUGUCUUAAAUAAGAGGGGGGGAAUGGAACAAAAACAAACAGCAAGCAAAAGAGAAAAAAGAGAGGACAUGCACACAGUGAGAAGAAUGUCAAGAGUUAAUCCCUGGUGUAAUACACUGGAGGGUAAAUUCAUGUUGUCAGAGGAACAGUUCAUGCAAGAUUUAUGUGCCCCCCCACCCUCUGGUGAACUUUAAGGUAAACCUCAGCCGGCGACUGCUGCAUUCCUCAUAAACCCCUAGCACAGCCCGCUGCUGCUUUUCCAAACUGCUUUCUCAUUAUUCAAUAGCACAUUUUUCCACAGCAUUCUGCUCUUGUUAAUACUUGCUUGCUGCAAUUUUUUUUUUAGUUCUGCAGUAAAAACACCUGUGUUUUAUUAAGACUCAAAAAUUGUGUUCCGCCUCCUUAUUUUGACUGCAGUGGCAUUAACCCUUUCAGAAGUAUGCUUUUGAGGGCUGCUGCUGAAUCUAAAAAGAAAGGCGCUUUAAAGAAGAAUGUGCCAUCAGAGAAACUGACACAGGAAAGCAUGGUUUUGUGUGGGGCUGGGGUAACUAAGGCCUUGGGUAAUGCUUGCUGCUAUAUCACAAAGUGAAGCUUGGGUGAAGGAAGGAACCCGAAGGUGUGAUCUUGCAACAGAAGGAAAGGCAGAGAUGGGGCUAGCAAACUGCAAGUUGACUACGGCCUGGUUUGCACAUCAUGGCAAGUCAAAAUAUGGCUUACAACAGGUGUGCAGAACCUUUGGCCCUCCAGAGGUUGCUGAACUACAAUUUCCAUCAUUCUUGGCCAUGGGCUAUUCUGGCUGGAGCUGAUGGGAGUUGUAGUUCAGCAACAUUUGCAGGGUCAAAGAUUCCUCGCUCCCUGCUUACCAGGCCUACUCAAAUGUGUGGGUUCCCAUAGAGGCCCCUAUAGCUGAUUUGUUUAUUUGUCUCUUUUUUUACUGGGACUCAUGUUUAAACUCUCAGCUCUCUGGGAGCCUGCAUGCUUGUGUAGUCCCAGUAAACCACCAUUUGGCUUACUGUGACAUGAGAACCGGCUCAAUGAAAGGAAAUCUGUGGUGAGUGGGACAGGUGAGAAAGGAGGGCAAGGCCUCAGAGGCUGUGGAGUCAUUGCGACAUUUUAGUAAAAGUGAGCUCUGAGAGAAAGAAUGCAAAAGUGCUUAAGGCUGAUGACCUAAUCUUUGCCUUCUUAGUACAAAGAGUCAGAUGGGUGCAAGACAGAAAGACGUGAUCCUUGUGCUGUCAGAUCUGUUCAAAUCAAACAACCGCAUGCGCCCAGAAUCAGGUACAUAGUGCUGCUCCACCCAUUUGGGUCACAGAAGGGGAAAAUUGCAAAAGCAGCACCGGCUACAUCAGCAGCACCACUCAAGGUACAACAUUUCUCAUAAAAGUCACAACGAACCUUUUCUGUUUUCAGGGAAAUACGCCUCCUGUAGCAGCAAACAGAAGCAGGAGAAAGUCUUGUGCAGAUGCAUCCUUAGUGCUGGAGUGCAGGAAUUUUGGCAAAAUGAAUUCUUCUUGAGAUAGGACUCAAGGCAUGAAGGAGCCACUACAAGAAUCGAAAACCUCUCACCUCCAGUUCCUUAACAGCUUAAUGGAUGUAGGUAACAGAAAGUUUUAAAAGGUAAUAAAAACCUUGGUGGCUUAAAUGUUUUGUUAAUUCUGUUCUGAGUUGUAUCAGAAUUACAGGGUAGUAUUGGCACCUAGUUUUUGGCAGUUGUUCCUCUCUCCACCUUUAUAACUAUUGUCUUCAGGCUACGAAGCACAUAUUAUGGCGUUCAUGAUAGUCACCUCUUACUAGUUUCUAUGCAACAUUCUUUUACUCAUAUCUAUAGGUGUUCUACAAAAAAAGAAAUUUACCUUGUAAAAAAGAAAGUUGUGCCAAAGGGCUCAUAUUCCAAAACUGCAAAAAGGGGAUGAACAAAAAUGAGCAAAAUCAGCUUUGAUGGGAUUUACCAGCAGAGUAUAUAGUAGCAUAACUCAGAGAGGUUUCAGCUCAAGGGACAUGGAACUCAUCUGUUAGAACCAUUUAUACAUGUAUGUGUCUGAAGACUAAAAUCACAGUGUUCAAUACAUGUAAACAAUGUUCAAAACUACUUCAGUGUGACUGUGUAUAAACCUGACUUGCACUUACAGAACUUCACUCAUUGUCAAAGCUGUAAUUUGCAUUUGCUUGUAUACUGUGGUUUGGAACCAUUAUAUGUCAGACUUGAAGAAUAUGCGCAAAUUAAGGUAAUCACAUGCUAUCACCACUAAUUUACAUACAAAUGUAAACAUCCAAACUCAUGAAAUAUGUUGGGCCCUGUUAUUAUGGAGAGUAAACAGCAAUGACUCGCCUGUUAUUUACACAGCCACCCAAACAGGGCAUUUUCUUCCACUGUCACCCAGCUGGGCAACACAGCAAGGGGUAUAGAAGUCAGUGUCUAACCUAUGUUCCGAAAUGGGCUCAUAAUCAUGCUUCAUAGGUGGCCUGGCCACC